rnacentral:rRNA from 1 species
GACAGAGGGUGCGAACGUUGCUCGGAAUUAUUGGGCGUAAAGAGCUCGUAGGCGGUCUGUCGCGUCGGAUGUGAAAACCCGGGGCUUAACCCCGGGCCUGCAUUCGAUACGGGCAGACUCGAGUGUGGUAGGGGAGACUGGAACUCCUGGUGUAGCGGUGGAAUGCGCAGAUAUCAGGAGGAACACCGAUGGCGAAGGCAGUUCUCUGGGCCGUAACUGACGCUGAGGAGCGAAAGCGUGGGGAGCGAACAGG